AGAGUUUGAUCAUGGCUCAGAACGUACGCUGGCGGCACGCCUUAUACAUGCAAGUCGAACGGAGUAGCAAUACUUAGUGGCAGACGGGUGAGUAACAUGUAGGUAUCUUCCCUUUGGUGAGGAAUAACACGAGGAAACUUGUGCUAAUACCUCAUAAGUCUUUACAGAGAAAGCUUUAUGCGCCAUUGGAUGAGCCUGCACUUGAUUAGUUUGUUGGUGGGGUAAUGGCCUACCAAGACUUUGAUCAAUAGCUGAUUUGAGAGGAUGAUCAGCCACAUUGGGACUGAGACACGGCCCAAACUCCUACGGGAGGCAGCAGUAGGGAAUCUUGCACAAUGGAGGAAACUCUGAUGCAGCGAUGCCGCGUGAGUGAAGAAGGCCCUUGGGUUGUAAAGCUCUUUCGUCGGGGAAGAAAAUGACUGUACCCGAAUAAGAAGGUCCGGCUAACUUCGUGCCAGCAGCCGCGGUAAUACGAAGGGACCUAGCGUAGUUCGGAAUUACUGGGCUUAAAGAGUUCGUAGGUGGUUAAAAAAGUUGGUGGUGAAAUCCCAGAGCUUAACUCUGGAACUGCCAUCAAAACUUUUUAGCUAGAGUAUGAUAGAGGAAAGCAGAAUUUCUAGUGUAGAGGUGAAAUUCGUAGAUAUUAGAAAGAAUACCAAUUGCGAAGGCAGCUUUCUGGAUCAUUACUGACACUGAGGAACGAAAGCAUGGGUAGCGAAGAGGAUUAGAUACCCUCGUAGUCCAUGCCGUAAACGAUGUGUGUUAGACGUUGGAAAUUUAUUUUCAGUGUCGCAGCGAAAGCAAUAAACACACCGCCUGGGGAGUACGACCGCAAGGUUAAAACUCAAAUGAAUUGACGGGGACCCGCACAAGUAGUGGAGCAUGUGGUUUAAUUCGAAGAUACGCGCAGAAACUUACCAACACUUGACAUGUUCGUCGCGACUCU
rnacentral:rRNA from 1 species